UGGCGACCGGCGCACGGGUGAGUAACGCGUAUCCAACCUGCCCUUUACUAUGGGACAGCCCGUCGAAAGGCGGAUUAAUACCGUAUGUUGUCAUGUUGAUGCAUAUUUUCAUGACCAAAGGCUUCGGCCGGUAAAGGAUGGGGAUGCGUCUGAUUAGCUUGCCGGCGGGGUAACGGCCCACCGGGGCGACGAUCAGUAGGGGGUUCUGAGAGGAAGGUCCCCCACAUUGGAACUGAGACACGGUCCAAACUCCUACGGGAGGCAGCAG
rnacentral:rRNA from 1 species